rnacentral:rRNA from 1 species
AUUGAACGCUGGCGGCAUGCCUUACACAUGCAAGUCGAACGGCAGCGCGGGGCAACCUGGCGGCGAGUGGCGAACGGGUGAGUAAUAUAUCGGAACGUACCCUGGAGUGGGGGAUAACGUAGCGAAAGUUACGCUAAUACCGCAUACGAUCUAAGGAUGAAAGUGGGGGAUCGCAAGACCUCAUGCUCCUGGAGCGGCCGAUAUCUGAUUAGCUAGUUGGUGGGGUAAAGGCCUACCAAGACAUCGAUCAGUAGCUGGUCUGAGAGGACGACCAGCCACACUGGAACUGAGACGCGGUCCAGACUACUACGGGAGGCAGCAGUUGGGAAUUUUGGACAAUGGGCGCAAGCCUGAGCCAGCAAUUCCGCGUGAGUGAAGAAGGCCUUCGGGUUGUAAAGCUCUUUUGUCAGGGAAGAAACGGUGAGGGCUAAUAUCCCUUGCUAAUGACGGUACCUGAAGAAUAAGCACCGGCUAACUACGUGCCAGCCGCCGCGGUAAAAC